AAUAAGGUGCCUGAUUAAAGGAUUAAUUUGAUAGAUUAAAUAAAGUAUGAUUGAAAUUUC
rnacentral:tRNA from 1 species